rnacentral:rRNA from 1 species
UACACUCCUACGGGAGGCAGCAGUGGGGAAUUUUGGACAAUGGGCGAAAGCCUGAUCCAGCAAUGCCGCGUGUGUGAAGAAGGCCUUCGGGUUGUAAAGCACUUUUGUCCGGAAAGAAAUCCUUGGCUCUAAUACAGUCGGGGGAUGACGGUACCGGAAGAAUAAGCACCGGCUAACUACGUGCCAGCAGCCGCGGUAAUACGUAGGGUGCGAGCGUUAAUCGGAAUUACUGGGCGUAAAGCGUGCGCAGGCGGUUUGCUAAGACCGAUGUGAAAUCCCCGGGCUCAACCUGGGAACUGCAUUGGUGACUGGCAGGCUAGAGUAUGGCAGAGGGGGGUAGAAUUCCACGUGUAGCAGUGAAAUGCGUAGAGAUGUGGAGGAAUACCGAUGGCGAAGGCAGCCCCCUGGGCCAAUACUGACGCUCAUGCACGAAAGCGUGGGGAGCAAACAGGAUUAGAAACCCGAGUAGUCCCAUGAU